rnacentral:lncRNA from 1 species
AUUUCACUCGGCUCGGUCCUGAGGAGAAGGACUCAGCCGCGGCUGCGGGACCUGGGCACCGGAGGCAGUGGCGGCGGCGGCGGCGGCGGCAGCGGCGACAGCAGAGGAAGACGAGGAGGAAGAAGGAAGAAAAAGAAGAGCCAGACGGAGUCCGCAACGACGACAGCUGGGACUGCGGGACCGGGGAAAAGCGGCGGCGGCGGCGGCCCAGCAACCGUGAGGAGAAACAAAAGCCUUCUAAAUUAUAGUUUCCAAUCAGUCUAGGGGAAAAGAGAGCGCGAGCCGAGGGGGGAGGCUUUUCUCCUGUAGAGUAACUACGGUAGCGGGGUUUUCCUUUUUGUCCAUCCCCCUUCCCCCUCCCCCCGGCGGAGAAUCGAACUGAGAGAACUGAACAAACCGCCCCUGGGUCCCAUGAGGGAAAAAAAUCCCGGAGCCGCAGAGAGGGGAAGAGGCAGAAACCGCAGGACCUUCCAGGUCGCCCCCUUGCUCCCCGCACCCCCGGGCCGCCAGCUUGCCCUUGUCCAGUCUCGCUAAUCCCUCCUGAUCGCGACACCCCCCAGAGGGAGAAACGGGUGUUUCCAACCCCUUUCAUGGGGGAAAGGAGGCCGAGGGGAGCCCAAGAACAGCAAACGCAGCAAGAUCUGCACCCGGAGCCCAAGGAACAGCCCCAGAGGCCCACACUGCACCCUACAAAAGAACAGAAACAGGACCAGGAACAGCAGAAAUCUCCCUGCAAUCAUCUUUCCUUUAGUCAAGGCUGAUUUCCUCUUUGGCAACCAGAAAUUCACCUCCCGCCCCAGAUAACCUAAUAUAAUCUAUCUAUAUAUAAAUAUAUAAUAUAUAAUGUUCUUAAAUUAUUCCUGAUUUUUUUAACCAAGCUGCCAAGAAAAGAACGUAUUCACCCCUUAAUCCUAUUCUAAUUUUUAUGUGAAUCUAAACUGCUGAGGAAGACCAUAUGUGAUUGUUAAAUUUUAUAUAUAUAUAUUUUUACUCCGCACAAUGCUUAUUCUUCUAUAUCCAUAGAUGCUUGAGAAGCUGUGUUUUUGUCAUUCAUGAACAUUUUCCUUUGGAAAAAGAAAGCGCCUAUUUUACUAACCAAAGACUUGAUUUUUACCUUUUUCCUUUUUUAUUCCUUCCUUGAAAUAAGCCCAAUUGGAUUCAUAUCAAUAUUUUAAGAGGUUUUUUUUUUUAGGUUCUUUUCCAUUCAGAGAGACCAGAAUUCCAAAUCAGAGAUACGUAGGGUGAUAAGCUGUGAUCUUUGAGUUAGCUAUAAAUAAGAUACUUCAAGCAAACAUAUUUGAGAUACAGGGGAGGAAAGACGUGAGACAUUAGGUUGUCUUUUUUUUAUUGUGAGAUUCUGAUCCUAAAAAUAAUAAAUGGGGGAUUACGGGUUUGGAGUGCUAGUGCAAAGCAAUACUGGGAAUAAAUCUGCUUUUCCAGUCCGAUUCCAUCCACAUCUGCAGCCUCCACACCAUCACCAAAAUGCCACCCCCAACCCUGCUGCUUUUAUAAAUAAUAACACAGCUGCCAAUGGCAGCAGUGCUGGGUCAGCCUGGCUCUUUCCUGCCCCGGCUACUCAUAACAUUCAGGAUGAGAUCUUGGGGUCAGAAAAAGCAAAAAGUCAACAGCAAGAACAACAAGACCCUUUAGAAAAGCAACAGCUCUCCCCGAGUCCAGGUCAGGAAGCUGGAAUACUGCCUGAAACUGAAAAGGCAAAAGCUGAAGAAAAUCCAGGGGACAGUUCUUCAGAAAACAGCAACGG